AUAAUUACCUGGCAGGGGAGACACCAUGAUCAAGAAGGUGGUUCACCCAGGGCAAGACUCUGCCAUUACACUCGGGUUUUACUGACCCUUGCGAAUUCCCCAAAUGUGGGAAUCUCGACUGCAUAAUUUCUGGUAGUAGGAGACUGCUUUCGCACUCUCCCCUG
rnacentral:snRNA from 1 species